rnacentral:ncRNA from 1 species
GCUCGUGUUACUUAGAACCAGGCCAGUCAGAGAAACUGUAAGAAUACACUGUUGGCCGGACUACCAUUUCUGCUUAAAUAGCCUCCCCUAAAAAGAGUAUUACUACUACUACUACUUUAAAAAAAAAAGCAAACCACCAAAACCCAAAACUUGAGAGUGCAUUCAUUGAGAAGUUUGAUACAUUUUUCUGAAGAUAUCGAAAUGUUCAAAGCUGUCUGGCCAACAGUGCACUCCAGCCAGGAAUAACAGGAUAGGACUCUGGCUCUUUUUUUGUUGUUUUUUUACCACAAUUAAGAGCAAUGGCUGGGGGUAUUCAUAUUGCGCAUCUUGACCUGGAAUUCUUGGACCAGAGAAAGAUGAACUAAAGCAAGAACAUUUGCCAAGAAUGUUUUCAUCAAUCAAGAACAAAAGCUGGAGGCUUGUGGCCAACAAACUAUCCAGUGGUGUUGAUCCCAUCAUUCUCUGUGCAGUUCUCAGGACACCCAAGUUUCUGGUG